UUCAGGAAUAUCUGCUACUCACAUCUUUAAUGUGGCUCAUACCUAGAAUAUAUAAAAUAUGCAAACCAUCUAAAGAGAUUUUCCACCAAAGAAUAGGCACAAAUGUUCAAUAUGCACAUAAAACUCAGUAUCAUUAGCUAGCCAGGCAAUCGAAGUGAAAACCACAGUGAGGAGCUGCAGAGGUAGCUGGGGUGGAAUGUGUGUUUAACUUCUUUUUUUUUUUGGUUUUUCGAGACAGGGUUUCUCUGUGUAGCUUUGCGCCUUUCCUGGAACUCACUUGGUAGCCCAGGCUGGCCUCGAACUCACAGAGAUCCGCCUGGCUCUGCCUCCCGAGUGCUGGGAUUAAAGGCGUGCGCCACCACUGCCCAGCGUGUGUUUAACUUCUAACCAGGCCCCCGGCUUCCAUCCCCAACACCAAAAACAAAAGAGAAAGAUGCAGGGGACAGCCGGUGGUGGGAAUAUGGUGGGAUGUGAAAUCUGCAACCACUUUGGAAAACAAACUGCAAACUCUCCCAAAAGUUAAACUGUAUUUCUGCAUGACCUAGAAAUUCCACUUCUAUGAGUGUAGGCAAGAGAAAACACACUAUCUACACAAAAGUUUGCAAAGCACAGACUCUUAGAAACAUUGGUUACAACAGCCAAGAGGUGGAAACAGCCCAAGUAUCUAUCAACCAAUGAAAGGUAAAUGACCUUUGGAAAAUCAGAUGGUAGAAUAUGAUUUACAAUACAGGGUAAGGAGUCAGUACCAUGUCAUAGAUGACUCUUAAAUAUCAGUAAGAGAGAAAAAGCCAGUCACUCCAGGCCACACUGUCUGUCUGUGCAAAAUGUCUAGAACAGGUAACUGAUAGACAAGGGCUGGGGCUGGGGAGUGCCGCUAAAGAGUUUGGUUGUUUUUGGUUUUUCCGUGUAACAGCUCUGGCUGUCCUGGAACUUGCUUUGUAGACCAGGCUGGUCUUGAACUCACAUCACAGAGAUCCGCCUGCUUCUGACUCCUAAGCAGUGUUCAGCACCACGCCCCACCUGGUUGUCUGUUUUUGAGUGAUAAAAAUGUUCUGAAUCAAUUUCCAUGAAGGUUACACAACUCUGAUCGUACCAUUACCUGGUUCAUAAAGGAUGACCAUACGGGCAAACUUGGCAGUACACGAACAGAAAGGUUUCAAACGGGAAAAACGCUGAGUGUGGUGGGCUUCAUGGUGAAACCCUGUGUGUGGGGGUGGGGGUGGGGAGGAAGUAAAGAAAAGAGAAGAGAUACUGAGAGGUGGAGGUGUGAAGAUCAUGAGUUCAAGGUAAGCCUGAGUUCCGAGGUGAGUUCAACGCCAAUUUGGGCUACUGAAGAAGAUCCUGGGCUGACAGAAUUGUUAAGUGGGUAAAGGUGUUUCCCACCAAGCCUGAUGACCUGUGUUUCAUCCUUGAGACCCAAAUGGUAAAAGGAGAAACCGACUCCUACAAGCUGUCCUCUAACCUCCAUAAGAGUACCGUGGCUUGUGCGCCCUCAAUCCCCACAAACGCACAAAUAAAUAAAUGUAACUAAUUCAUUUUAAAAAGGUAUGGCCCAGAUCCACAUCAUGCAUAAGAACUCCUCACACAUAAAGAGAUGGCUCAGCAGUUAAGAGCAUGCACUGCUCUUGCAGAGGACCUGAGUUGGGUUCCCGGCACCAUGUGGAGCAGCCCACAAUUGUUCGUAACUUCAGCUCAAUGGGAUCUGAUGCCCCUGGCCUCCACGGCACCUCACUCACAGGCACAUACCCACCUCACAGACACUCAUAUACAAAUUAAAAAUUGUUUAAAUCUUCAAAUAUAAUAUAGGCAGUAUAAAAAGAAAUGGAUAGGAAAAGAUAAAUCAUCCGAACACAAUCAAAAGAAGGCAGGGGCCACUUCAUAAUUAAAACAAAAAAAGCAAAUGAUAAGACACAUUGGAGAAGGACCGAGGGUCUGCCUAUGAAGAAUACUCAGCUAUGCUCCAUGUGGAUACUAGACAGUAGCAUCUCUAAGCACGAAGCAGAAAGUGGCAGAGUCAGAGGCCUUCAGGAAUCCUCUCCAGCCCUCUGACAACUGGUAUAAAAACUGAACAGAAAAUCAGCAACAAGACAGAGAACUAAACACCACCAACUAUCGGGAUCUCAUCCACACUUUCAGACCACGCCACCCCGCUGCAGCUUCACUGCCCCAGAGCCUUUGGAGCACACCACAGGAGAGAAAGCAUCUCAACCCAAAACACCAAGAAACUGAAGACUUGAAAUUGAGCUGAGGCUGUAGCCUAGUGGCAGAGCCUUACAGUGUUGCAAGACCCUGGGAUCGAUGGAAGCAUGGUGGUUUACCCCUGGAAUUCCCGCGCUUGGGAGGCAGAAGCAGGAAGGACAGGAGUUCAAGGUCAAAUCAAGAUGUGUAACAAGUUUGAGACCAGCCUGGCAACAUAAAACUCUGCCUCAAAAUAGCUGUAGUAGUAGUGAGAUGUGCCCGGAGGCAGCAGUGCAGACAGAAACAAAGGAAGGAGUGCAGAGCUGGCACCAAGCUGGGAUGCGGCCGGGUACCCUAGGUGAGCGCAGGCAUGGAGCUGGGGGCCUGAUCCCAGCUGGCUGCUCCCACGUGUCUCCACCCCAGCCUUUGGCAUGGGCCCCCAGCUCUGCUCUUACAGUUUGCCACUUCACCAUUCAUUGGUGAGGAAAGGACCACAGCAUUCUCCCUGGCCCACUACUGAGAACCAUAGCCUGCCCAGUCUUGGCAAGCUAGAGCCAGCCAAUCAGAAAAGGGCAGAUCCUGCAAACUGCCCCCUUUUCUUUUCUGAUACAUCUCUGGGUGUGCUCUGACACGUCCAAAGACGCCACAGCCAAUCAAGUUUAAGCUAAUGUAACCGUUGUUUGCUUAGCCAAUCAUGUUUGCUGGAGAUGACCUAACUGUCCCUGGAAUUCUCCUAGCUGGGCUUAAAAGGAGCCUGAGAGCUUCUCUUGAGGUCAUUGCCAUUUUGUUGAGUGGCUGAUCCUUGCAUGCAGGAAUUUUCUCGUCAGAAAUAAAUGCUCUUGCUUUUGCAUACGUGAGUGGUGGGUGGUUUUUUUGUGGGGUGAUUUGUGGACCCUAACAUUUGGGGGCUCAUCAAGGAUCCUCCUCCUACCCCCAACACCUUGAGUGUUUAAGGAACCUGGCCGAAGAGAUGGUGCAGACAACCUUGACGUUGUCGCCCCCCCCCUUCCCCCGGCCUCCCCAUCAAGUCUUUUGCUGAACCAUUUUAAGGACUUCCAGACCCAAGCAACUGACCUGGGACUUGUCCAGAAAAGAAAGCUUUCUACCUUCUGCAGGAAUGAAUGGCCCGAGCUGGAUGUGGGAUGGCCUGAGGAGGGAACCUUCAACCUCCUAACUAUUUAUCAGGUUAAAGACAUAGUCAGUGAGUCAUCAGAACACCCCAAUCAGGUGUCCUACAUCACCACUUGGCAGAUGAUGGUAGAAAAACCCCCUAAACGAUUAAAACCCUUCCUUUCACCCUCCCAGGCGACUGCUGAGGUGGCAACAGAAAAGAAUCUGCCGCCAAAGAAGAAAGGGGAACUGACACCUUCAGCACCCCCCCUUACUCCAUCCUUCCCCCUUUGAGGGACCCGGAGGAAGAGUUCUUCUCAGCCUUGCCACUCUAUCCACAGGCGGCACAGGGGUGAGGGAAACAGAGGAUGCAGAGGGAGGGGAGUGGUGUGGAGAAAAAACUGAGGAGCCCUACACACACACACACACACACACACACACACACACACACUUGUGCCCACUCACAGAGAGAGGAGCUGCAGCUAUAGCCGACUCCAUGGUCCUUCCUCUGCAUGCUGUGGGCCCUCCUGAUGCUGGAAGUAGACAGCAGCUGGCCCAUUGGCCUUUCACCACUAGCAACCUCUAUAAUUGGAAACUGCAAAAUCCUAAGUUUUCUGAGAAACCCACUAAGCUCAUCGACCUGUUAGAUUCUGUCCUCUUUACUCAUCAGCCAACCUGGGAUGAAUGUUAUCAGCUGCUCCAGGUCCUCUUCACCAUGGAAGCGGGAGCAAAUUCUGGCAGAGGCUCGGAAAUUGGUUCCUGGCGCAGACAGGAGGCCCACCACAAAUCUAGGCCUCAUCAAUGCAGCGGGGAGGGGGUUCCCCUGACCAGACCCAACUGCGACUUCAACAUGGAGGAAGUCUUGUUCCAGGUGCAGAAACAGCUUUGGCCUCAGAUGCAUGCAGUCUAUGAAAAGGUGCCACCUCCCAUGCCUCACAGAUUCUGGCCAGGGGACUUGGUGAUCACCAAAAGACACCAAAAAGAAACCUUGGAACCUGGUUGGAAGGGACCCUACACUGUCAUCCUGAUGACACCCACAACUAUCAAAGUUGACAGGGUCUCCAGCUGGAUAUACCACUCCCAUGUAUGGGUCCCUGUGGACCGACAUCCUGACCCUGAGGACCACACUGCAGAGGAAGUCAACCUUGGACUUUGGAGGGCCAUUACACAUCCACAAGACCCUCUCAAAUUGAGACGCCAGAAAGCCACUGACCCAGCUAAGUAAUGGGCUUGCUCCUAUGCUUCCUCAGUUUCCUUAGUUCAUGUCUGCUGGGGUUUUCCAACCAGGCCACCACAGGGCGCCAAAACCUCCAUCAGCCCUUUAACCUCACUUGGAAGGUCAUCAACACAGACUCGGGGGAGGUCCUAAACCAGACCUCCCAUUCUGCCCCUUAGGGACCUGGUUUCCUGACCUGUACUUUGACUUGGGGGCACUUUUCACCGAAACAGCUUACCAGGCGCAUCUAUACUGAUUCUUUUAUUCAAGAACAUUACAUCCAUUUUUAUGUUUGUUUAUGUUUUUAUGGUAGAACUAAGGCCCAGAAAAAGACCUGUCGGGGAGCAAGUGACUAUUUCUGUGCCUCACAGAGUUGUGUCUCCACAGGUCACACCUGGUGGAAAACCCCAAAGACCAGGGACUUCAUCAGAGUAAAAAGGGCAUAUGAACCGGCCUGUCGCCCUGGGUAUGGUGGAAAGGGGGCAUGCAACCCAGCAUUGAUUCGAUUCACUGAUGCUGGCAAAAGGGCCUCUAGUUGGAUGUCAGGAAAAACCUGGGGUUUAAGGCUAUACAAGGACAGAAUGGCACCCGCAGAUCUGCAAGCAUCAUUCACCCUACAAUUAGACGUUCAGCUCCUACAACCAUGGAAGCCCCUGGGCCCCAAUAAGGUAAUGAGUCCAACCAGACCCAUGACUGCCCCCACCCAGAGGCCCACGGAAACUAAAACAUUUUGACACAUAAAACUGCCCCCAUGGACCUACUCCCCAAUCUAGGACCUUUAAACCUUUUAAAACCUACCUAUUUGGUCUUAAAUGCCUCAAAGCCCAGUCUCACUAAAACUUUCUGGCUUUGCCUAGAUGCAAACCCCCCUAUUCUGAAGAGACUGCAAUAAUGGGAAACUGUACCAACUCCUCUGACACCCAGUCACACCCAUGACAACAGUCAGGCAGAGGGAGGCUCGCCCUGCAGCCUGUGACAGGGAAGGGCCUCUGCAUCGGCCAGCCCCCGCCAAAUUAUGUCAGUCUGCAGUGAGGCUCAGAGUCCACCAGGGACAUGAUACUUAAUUCCCCCAGACGGCGCCUGGUGGGCUUGCACUACAGGUUUAACCCCUUGCGUACAUGCUCAAGUUUUAAUUAACACUCAGGGGUUCUGUGUUUUAGUACAACUGGUCCCUAAAAUAGCCUAUUACCCUGAAAAAGAAAUUCUCCGCCGGCUGGAACCACUAUGGUGAGGCAAACGGGAUGUUUUACAGCCGUCCUCCCCUCUCCUAGGCCUAGGUUUAGCCGGGGACAUAGGUACCAAGACUUCAGCCCUUGUUCUCCAAGAGCAGAAUGAUAGGACUCUGCGCAUGGCCACAGAUGCAGCCAUAGCCACCCUAGAAAAACCUCUCAUCUAUUUAGAAGAAUCCCUCUCCUCCUUAGCUGAAGUGGUCCUCCAGAACGAAAGAGGGCUGGACUUACUAUUCUUUCAACAAGGAGGUCUACGCUUGGCCUUAGGGGAACAGUGUCGUUAUUAUGCCAACCACUCGGGAGUCAUUAGAGAUUCCAGGACCCUGCUCAGAAAGGGGUUGCAUGACAGGAAACUGGAGAGGCCACAAAACGAGGGAUGCUAUGAGUCCCUGGUUAACUGGUCUCCCGGGUUGACCACUCUCUUGUCUGCUCUGGCUGGCCCCUAGUCCUCCUAUUGUUGGCCUUAACGUGUGGGCCUUGCACAGUCAAUGCUUUAGUCAGGCUUGUCAGGGAGAGGAUCUCCACCGUUCAACUGAUGGUUCUCACACAGCAAUACAAGCCUGCAGACCUGGAAGAGUCAUCUCCAAGACCUGAGAGGACCCAUUAUUCAAGGAGGGAAUGAGACGGCGACCCAUGACAUUGAGAACGACAGCAAGGAAGCUACACGGAGCUGGGGCCAAGCCGUGGUGAGGCAGGGACCCUGGGUGACUGCAGGCACGGAGCUGGGGCCAAGCCGUGGUGAGGCAGGGACCCUGGGUGACUGCAGGCACGGAGCUGGGGCCAAGCUGUGGUGAGGCAGGGACCCUGGGUGACUGCAGGCACGGAGCUGGGGCCAAGUCGUGGUGAGGCAGGGACCCUGGGUGACUGCAGGCACGGAGCUGGGGUCCCUACCCCGGCUGGCUCUUCCCAUUGCCUUGGCCUCAGCCUUUGGCACAGCCCCCAGGUCCACACUUACAGUUUGCUACUUUGGCAUUCACCAGUGAGGCCAGGACUGCAGCCCCCACCCCCUAGAGCCAGCCAAUCAGAAAAGGGCAGAUCCUGCAACACCUACCCCCUUCUCUUCUUUUUUGAUACAUCUCUGGGUGUGCUCUGACACGUCCAAAGAUGCCACAGCCAAUCAAGUUUAAACUGAGGGAACUGUUGCUUGCUCAGCCAAUCAUGUUUGCUGGAGAUGACCUAACUGUCCCUGGAAUUCCCCUAGCUGGGCUUAAAAGGAGCCUGAGAGCUUCUCUCCAGGUGUCACCAUUUUGUUGUGUGGCUAACCCCUGCGUGCAGGAAUUUUCUCGUCAGAAAUGAAUGCUCUUGCUUUUGCAUAUGUGAGUGGUGGUCUUUUGUGGGGUGAUCUCAGCACUCAAGAAGCAGCAGAAGCAGGCAGAUCUCUGUGCGUUCCAGGCCACCCUGGUCUAUGAGUCAAAUCCCAGGACAGCCAGGAUCGUUACACAGAGAAACUCUGUCAAAAAACAAACAAACAAACAAAAAACCCAUAAGUAAAUAAGUAAUAGAACACUGAUACACACAAAAAUCAUCAAUUCGAUGGGCGUGGUGGGUCACACUUAUAACCUCAACACUCAGGAGGCUGAAGCAGAGGAUGUAAUCAGGAGUUCGAUGCCAGCCCAGGCAACACAGUGAUCUAGGCUCAGUCUAGGCCACAGAGUAAGGUCAUAUCUCGAAUGAAUGCAUGAAUAAACACCCUGGGAUCCAUCCUUAGCACAGGAGCAGCAGAAGGAGAGGGAAGAGCAGGAGAGGGAAGAAGGAAGAGGAAUUAUAGUCAUACUUUCUGACCGCAACCACAAGGAAUCCAGCUGGAACUCAACAAAGAAUUCUCCCAACACUUAGAACUAAGCAGCAGACUGCUGAGAAAUUGACUCACGUGUCAAACAGAAAAGGACAACACACAAAAUGUGUGGGGCACCACUUCAUGGGGUGGAAGACGCACAGCAGCCUUAAGACACACACUGGGCAAAAGUCUGAAAUCUGAAACCUAAGCUCCUGGCCCAAGAUCCUAGGAAAAGUAAGUCCAUUCCAGGCCAGGAGAGCCAUGAAGAAGCCAGCAGGCCUCCAUGACAGGACAGCCAUGAAGAAGCCAGCAGGCCUCCAUGACAGGACAGCCAUGAAGAAGCCAGCAGGCCUCCAUGACACUAAAGGGAAAAAGAGUGAGUGUGGGGCCAGUGAAAUAAAACACACUCUUUCUGUUGUUGUUGUUUUGUUUUUGUUUUUUUAUUUUUUUAUUUUUUAUUUUU